rnacentral:sRNA from 1 species
GGGGGGGGUAUUAUCUUAUUUUUUCUAUUUGGAGUGGGAAGGGGGCGUCAUUGGUAGCGCAUGAUAAAUGUGGACUCUUUUUUUUACUAAUGAUAAAAAUACCGACAUUGGAUUUAAACUUAAGAGGGCUUGACGGUGAUAACUAUUUUAAGACUAUACUUACAUCUACCUCUUUUCGAGUUCUGUGCAAAGAAACAGGAAAAUGUGAAAAUUCUUUAACAACAACAUUUGAAUAUUUUCUCUACAAAGAACUUGUUUAUGGUCCAAAAUGUCAUAUUUAAUUUGAAACUUUUGGCAGAUCCUUCUUAAUGUGACAUGCCGGUGUAAAUAACUACCGGGCAUGUUGGCAUUCUCGCAAC